CCCUUAGAUGUCCUGGGCCGCACGCGCGCUACACUGAGUGUCUGAGAUACGAGUCUGCCUGGUCCGGCAAGGUCUAGGUAAUCGCUAAAAGACACAUCAUGCUUGGGAUAGAUUAUUGCAAAUAUUAAUCUUGAACGAUGAAUUCCUAGUAAGCGCAAGUCAACAGCUUGCGUUGAUUACGUCCCUGCCCUUUGUACGCACCGCCCGUCGCUACUACUGAUUGGAUGUUUAAGCGAGGUUCUCGAACUGCUAGCGACUUAGCUUCGGUGAGGUCGCAGUGUGGGAAGUGAACCUAGCUUUGGUGUCUAGAGGAAGUAAAAGUCGUAACA
rnacentral:rRNA from 1 species